GACGAACGCUGGCGGCGUGCCUAAUACAUGCAAGUCGAGCGAAGUUUUUCUGGUGCUUGCACUAGAAAAACUUAGCGGCGAACGGGUGAGUAACACGUAAAGAACCUGCCUCAUAGACGGGGACAACUAUUGGAAACGAUAGCUAAUACCGGAUAACAGCAUAAAUCGCAUGAUAUAUGUUUAAAAGUUGGUUUCGGCUAACACUAUGAGAUGGCUUUGCGGCGCAUUAGCUAGUUGGUGGGGUAAAGGCCUACCAAGGCGACGAUGCAUAGCCGACCUGAGAGGGUGAUCGGCCACACUGGGACUGAGACACGGCCCAGACUCCUACGGGAGGCAGCAGUAGGGAAUCUUCCGCAAUGGGCGAAAGCCUGACGGAGCAACGCCGCGUGAGUGAAGAAGGAUUUCGGUUCGUAAAGCUCUGUUGUUAGGGAAGAAUGAUUGUAUAGUAACUAUAUACAGUAGAGACGGUACCUAACCAGAAAGCCACGGCUAACUACGUGCCAGCAGCCGCGGUAAUACGUAGGUGGCAAGCGUUGUCCGGAAUUAUUGGGCGUAAAGCGCGCGCAGGUGGUUUAAUAAGUCUGAUGUGAAAGCCCACGGCUCAACCGUGGAGGGUCAUUGGAAACUGUUAAACUUGAGUGCAGGAGAGAAAAGUGGAAUUCCUAGUGUAGCGGUGAAAUGCGUAGAGAUUAGGAGGAACACCAGUGGCGAAGGCGGCUUUUUGGCCUGUAACUGACAUUGAGGCGCGAAAGCGUGGGGAGCAAACAGG
rnacentral:rRNA from 1 species